rnacentral:lncRNA from 1 species
UGGGAGGGCUCUGAUUUGGCAGGGAGAAUGAGAUAGGAAGUAAGCUGGGUCCAGUAUUUGAGAUCAGGUCUGAACAAGGUCCUGCUCUCUGGUGCUUUCCUGAUUGCUAUGGAAUAGAACUGGAGCCGAGAACCAGAUGCUUUCUGUUUAUCCUCAUCAUAAUUUAACAUUAUCCAUGUUAGCUGGACAGUAUCCUCUGAAUUUCAGUAAGCUGAAAAGCCCACUUCACUACUUCCACUCUACUGAGAAAUGCUGAGCUGAGAGCUGGAAGGAUUUUUGGUUGUUUUCCUGACAUUAGGCUGAUCAGUGAGAUAUAAUGAGGACAAGGGAGAAGUGCCAGAAGUUUUGAACUUGAACAACAUCAGAGCCAGCUGAAAACUUAACCUCAAACUUUUCAAGUUCCUUUGUAAAUCGGUAACCUCAUGUUUGUGAGAUGGCAAGGGGAUAGGCAGA